rnacentral:rRNA from 1 species
UACGUAGGGGGCUAGCGUUGUCCGGAUUUAUUGGGCGUAAAGAGCGUGUAGGCGGCCAGGUAGGUCUGCUGUGAAAACUCGAGGCUUAACCUCGAGAUGUCGGCGGAAACCAUCUGGCUAGAGUCCGGAAGAGGAGAGUGGAAUUCCCGGUGUAGAGGUGAAAAUUCGUAGAUAUCGGGAGGAACACCGGUGGCGAAGGCGGCGAUCUGGGUAGAAUACUGACGCUGAGGAUGACGAAGCGUGGGGAGCAAACAGGUUGAGAAACCCCAUGUA